rnacentral:tRNA from 4 species
GGGUCGUUAGCUCAGCUGGUAGAGCAGCGGACUUUUAAUCCGUUGGUCGCCGGUUCGAAUCCGGCACGGCCUACCA